ensembl:snRNA U1 U1 spliceosomal RNA
AUGCUUACCUGACAGGGAAGAUACAAUGAUCACCAACGUGGUUUUCCCAGGGUGAAGCUCACCCGUUGUACUCUGGUUGUGAUUUCCCCAAUUGUGGGAAGCUCAACUGCAUAAUUUGUGGUCAUGGAGGACUAUAUUUGCACUCUCCCCUG